UUACGGCCAUAUCACGUUGAAACAGUGGUUCUCGUACGAUCACCGAAAUUAAGCAAAGUCGAGUCUGGCAAGUACUUAGAUGGAUGACUGCUUGGGAAUACCAUGUGCU